rnacentral:lncRNA from 1 species
UAUAAUGAAUCUACAAAAAUAAGCAUUGCUCUAUAGAUAAAUGAUAGAAAAAUAAAUGUUUCAACUUCAUAUGGUUUCUAUCAGUUUGAAGAACUUUGACUAAUAAACUGGCUCAGGCAGGAUAUUUCUUUGAAUAUAAAGUGCUCAGGUGUCAGGCCUUGUGGUUUAAGAAAGCUGAGUAAAACAACCUGAAUGCAUGGAAUAUAAUGAAAACUCAAAGACAAUGAAUACAGAAGAAAUGCUUCUAGAAACAAGAGGAGGACACUUUAAAUGUGGGUAUAGUAUAAUAAGCCAAUAUGGCCAUGUGAAGUUGCUUCAUUGAUAAGACAACUAGCAUUGCCUUGGUGAUGAGGUGGCAGGAUGCAAGGGCCUAUCACAAGCUGUGGACCAUCCACCAACACCAAAGGACAUGGACAGUAAUACUGUGUUGGUCAAUUCCAGUGAGGUGUUUCAGAGAGCCAUGAUGAUACAGGUCCUCAGAACGUGCCAGCACUCUUUAAGCCUGUGUGUUUGCCUAUAAUAGAUGACUUUCCUGAAUAAUGCCUUGCACAUUGCCAAAAUUUUAUGGCCAAACUGUUGUUAGGAUGACUGAAUUCCUGUCAGUAAUGCCAGGAUGUUCUCUUAUUACAGUUCAGAUCCAUGGUUUUAACUGUAGUGUGUUGUUCUUAGAACCAAAGACAAAAUCUCUGAUGCUGCCUAACUAUCUGUCUAAUGAACUCCUAACACAAUACCAAGAUGUGAACUCGGUGAUUCUAUUGAGCAGAUGAAAAGGUCAAAACACCGUCCAACAUUAUCUUGGAACAGCAGCCAUAGGUGCAUCAGCAGAAGGCAGCACUGGCACAGGAGCUCCUGGCCCCGUGAACAAAGAGAAUCUCCAUGGGGGUGGUAGUGGCUAGGAGCUCAAGAAACAUGGGCUCAGCCAGUAGCCCUGCACCUCACCACUUUCACCUCAGGCAAGUGUUGGAGCUGGAGCCCAUUUCAUCCCCAGGUGCGUUAGUCUAGUAGUGGGCAGGCUUAGGAGGUAUCUUCCUAGAGAGCCACUCUAGGUCCAGGCCUCCUCUCUCCCAGGACUCCUUCCCACCCUUCCUGAACCAAAAGUCACCUUAGGGGUUUCAGGCAGCUGGAACUUGCCUGCCCUUGAGCAUUAGUGAGGUAGUACUGCUCCUGGGUACCGAGGUAAAUAUUUUCAUAUAGUGAGCCAAGUAGAGAAACUUUGGCUUUCUUCUACGUUUGUGUUAACAGUUUGGAACUAGGACCAUGUUGAGGGUGAGCAGAGUAAG